UCCUGCUACAGUCGCUUAUUCACUUCCCCGCCGCCCUCGCCGACUUCUACUUGUCGGGGUCGCUGGAAGAGGGAAAACUUGAUCCUGAUUUCGCAUCCGACGAUGACGAAUGGCCCUCCUCCUUGCAGGCAAUCGGGAAGAAGCUGUGCAGUUCUGGGCUGCUCCAACGGUAGGGGCUAACUUCAAGUUUGGAAAAAGACUGAACGCAAAAUACACAAGCCUUUACUUCAUGAAGAUUGCCCCUGUCUGAGACCAUAGUUUACAUAGAUUCCCUGGCCAUACAGAGGACCAAGAUAUUCGCCAGAAGUGGAUUAAGAAUACCAACAGAAAGGAAUUUGUUCCCAAUAAAAACAGCACGGGCUGUACUGUACAUCUGGCAUCCAUCCCAUCUUCCAGCGGAGCCGUAAACAGUAGAGGCUUCAGCAUCCAUUGCAUCUGUCAGUACCCAUGAGGAGAGAAGAAGGGAAAUGCGGCUAUCCACUGCAAAAUGGAGAGGGGAGGGAAGAUCAUAGGAAAGAAGAGAGGUGGUAGGGGAGUAUAAAGCAAGAAUAAGAAAAGUGGAAGAAGACGUAUCUGAGAAGAGAAGAGAAAAGGAAAGACAGAAAAUGGCCUAUAUGGCCUCUAUGAACUGUACAUAUCUACAUCCUAAACCAGAUGAGCAGCUGCUUAGCUGUCAGUGAUCAUCACAUGGACAAACCAGGGGUUUAAACAGUGCUCAGCAUUGACUUCAAAUGUUCUGUGCAAUAUUAGUGUGGUGGAUAACGUUCCCCCUAGGUGGCAUUAUGACAUUAUCAACCCUCCAAUGGCCUUCUGAGCAUUGUAUUAUAAAUGUCAUUCUAAAAAUAAAAAAACAAA